GUUUUGUAUUAAUUAAUUAAUUAAUAAUAAUAGUAGUAGUAAAUUGAAUGAAAGAAUGCCAUGUGGCAUUAAGUUGCUCUUGUUUUAGUAUAAGAAUGCCAUGUGGCAUUAAUCAUACUUUUUUAUUAGUAUUAGAUAAGUAUGAAGUUCGUGAAAGAUAACGUGAUCAAACAUAAUUAUCUUAUUUUUUUAGUUUCAAUUUCACGCCUUAUACUAUUUACAAUAUAUUCAACAUAACAUAGAUGAAAAUCAGGGAGUUAAAAAACUAAGGAGACAAUUGAUAUGUUAGUUUUUUUUUGGAAUUUAAUAAAAAUGGAAAAUGAAUUCUAUUUGAAAUUUGAAAAGUAAACAAGAAGGAAACAUGGAAAAUAAUUAUAUAUAUAUUAAAAAAUAAAGCUAAUGAAUAGUAAGUCUUUUCAGCUCAUCCUAUUUUUAUACUGCAUAUAUACAAUUUCAGCUCAUCCUAUUUUUAUACUGCAUAUAUACAAUUUCAUUUUAUAGUCUUACAUGAUUUGACUCUUGGUUUAGUGGUAGGUGUGGUGUUUGUUCCCAGCUUUGAUGCUGGUUCAAAUCUCAUCCCAUCACUUUUUUCCUUUUAAUCUACCCAAAUAGGUGUCUACAAAACAUAUUUAUUCACUCUACAUCACCUAAUCACCACCAUCAUCAUCUCCUUUUUUUCCCCAAAAUCAAAACCCUAAAUCCCUUCACCUCUAGAUCACCUGAUCACCACCACCAUCAUCCCCUUUUUUCCCCAAAAACAAAACCCUAAAUCCACCGAAUUCACCUAGGGUUUCACUCCACAACUACCCCAAUUUCAUCACCAUGUACAGCAACUUCAAAGAACAAGCAAUCGAGUACGUAAAUUCUAUUUAUUCGUCUAGCUCUCAACCAUUCCAUGUGCAAUCUAUAUAUACACAUGCUAAUUGUAACUAGCAUUAACUUAUAAUUAGGAGAAUUAUCGUACAUGAUGUAUGCCCAUUAUCAUCAUUUAUAACAAUUUCUUAUUUGUUUGGUUUGUAGAAUUUGUUUGAAUUAGAAUCUAAAAGAUAACAUGUUUUAUUGGAAAAAGAAGUUAAAAUUGAAAUAAAUUCCUUUAUAAUAAUUAUCUCAAAUUGGAAAAAGAAGUUAAAAUCGAAAUAAAUUUUCUUUAGCUCUUUUAAUAAUUAGCUCAACUAGAGAAGGAAUUCAAUCAAAAGAAUUGAAAUCGCUCACUCCCUCACUAUUGUCACCACUAUCAUCCACAACAACUAGCUGGUGCCACUGCCACCACCAUCGCCACUGUUAACACCAUGCCUAUCAUCUUACCACCUUGUGCAUUGUCACAACCAAAACACAUUCCAAAUUCGUUAAUAAACCGGCAAACUAAACAUGACAUGUUUUUUCAACAAAAUAUAUUAUAAUUUUCGGUUCCUUUGGUACUAAAUUUGUUUCCUUUAAUUUCAAUUUGCUUUGACGAAUUACAAUCCUUAGAAAAAGAAUUAUGAGCCAAACAUAUCCUAAGGGUGGAGGGAGUGGUCUCGGGGAGUGCUUCGGGCAGGGGGUUUACCGAUUUGGGAUGUAUUGCCGGUGGAUGUUCGGUGAUCGAGGAAGAGGAGAGGUGGUGUAGGCGGUGAGUAGUCACCGAGUGGGGAAGAGGAGAGAGGUGGGAGAGAGAGGGGUAAUGCGACAUCAACGUCACACAGUACGGAGAUCUCGUGAGCUUUCUUCAACAAUCCAGACCUCCGUUUCGAGAAGGUUACCUGUCGAUUGAUUUUGUUUUCAAUUCUCUUCAACGUCACCUUACCUCUCCCCAUCGUGUAACCGCCGGUAACAACCACCAGUUGUUUAUGAUGCUUCUGUUGCUGGUGGCGGUGGUGGAAGAAUAUAUUAUUAUAUCACCUAAUUUGGGAAU
rnacentral:lncRNA from 1 species